AGUUUUGCACCUUAGCAGUAUCAUAGUCAAUGAGAUUUAUCUGAGGUGCGAUUAUUGCUAAUUGAAAACUUAUCAUGGUGGCAUUGUAGUGUAGUUUCAAGUUGAAAAUUUUUAUACCCCCUGUUA
ensembl:snRNA U4 U4 spliceosomal RNA